CACUGAAAAGAGCAGAUGCAGAGAUUUUCUAGAUAAACAAAUCACCCAAGCCCUGCCACUCCAGCCCCCCUCCCCUCCCCCCACCCCCAGUUCAGCUCUCUUCUUUGCACCUUAUAGUUCAAGCUAAAAGCAGUUGCAAGUGGAAAGUGUAGGGCUGUGUCUUCUUACAUGUCCUGGAUCCUCCUUUAACUGUGAAAAUGUUCAAAGUGAAAACUUGACCUGGCAACAGUUUCUGAAUGACCUCGCUUUGGCUGUGAAAUCCACUUGAGCUUUGCAGGAGCAGAUUUUUACAGUCUUCUCUGGUAGAGGAACAAAAAGACUUAUUAUUAUUAUUAUUAUUUUUCUUCAAGAGGAAACUUUAUACAGGCCGUGUGUUAUGCUUUCUCCCAGCGCUCAAGGUCAAAUAAGCACUUCUCUUCUCACUAUUCCCUGCUCACUUUCUAUCACCCAAAAAAUAAAUUCCAUCCCCUCCUCUGUUGCUGCAGACAAUCCACAACAUCAAGAAGAAGCGACAGGAGUGUAAGCAGGAAGCCUGACGCUUCAGCCAUUGCAGCCGCACAUGAUACAAAAGGUGAAGCUCCGUCUUCCUAGUCUUCUCCCCUUCUACUGUAGAGGAGAACCACUGUUUGAAAGAAGUAAGAUUGCAGUAGUGAAAGUUUGGUGUAUUUUCCACAUUUCUGGAGCUGACUUCUGCGGGUGGACGAAGGACGUGCCAACAGCAAGAGUGUCUAUAGCUCAGUGUUUUGAAAUGGUAAGGCAUGCUGAUCAAGGAUAUCUCUACCAAUUUUAACUAACCAGUGUGGCCUGCUCAGGCCAAUAUUAUGGACAGCAACAAACAAGAGGACACUUUGUCUCAUCAGUCUCAUGGAUAUAACUUUCUGCUUACAGCUGUAUUUGGCUAAGGCCUGUAGGUGGUUAUGGACUUUGACUCAGUGGCUGGGCUUGGAUGGGAGCCUUCUGGCUUACAAUCCUGUGCUCCAACCAUCUAAUCUCUCAGCCCAAAGGAAAUUGCGGUGUCCCUGUGGACCCUUGGGCAUGGAGGUUAGCCCAUGGCUGAACCCUUCAGACAGAAAUGGUACAAAACCAAACCCGAGUUUCUCCUCCUCAGAUCUAACUCAUCAAGAAUAG
rnacentral:lncRNA from 1 species